rnacentral:misc_RNA from 1 species
UGCUGAUCCUUCAUCUGAUAAGUAAGUUCUGUUGUUCCAAUGAUAUUAAUACUGCUAUUUUCCCUUUUGCAGCGCCAAGUUUAUUUAGUUUUUAUGUUUCACUACGUAAACUCAAGAAAUUUAUUUUGAGGUUCUUUGGCUCUGAUGUUGUGAACAGUUCUUUUCCUUUCCUUCUUGUUUAUUUCCAUCUUGAAGAAAGAAAUAGUAAAAUUGGCUGUCCUGCCUCUCCUACUGUGUAUAUUAUGUUGCCUUGUCUGUGGGGAUUAAUUAUUUUCCUACAUCUUGAUGCUAAAUCUGUGAGUUAAGGACAUUUUAAAGAGGGUAUGAUACAAAUGCAAGAAAAAAAAAUCUCUCCUUUUAAUUUCCAUGAGAAAUAUAAAUACAAAAUAAAAUAUUGAACAAGACCUGUGCUCUAUAAAAAUAACACCAAGUUAUUAUUGCCAUUGAUCCUCAGCGAUUACUAAGAUAUUGCCUCAUUAAUGUCUUGGCCUUGUCAAAUAUAUGACCAGACCACAAAAGCAAAACGGAGAAGUGAUUUUGGAGUCAGCCAAACAACGGAAGAUUGAUUUGAAAGGGUUGGUUUGCAUGCUUUCAUCAAUUCUGAAUUAUGAUAAUUUGACAUAUUAGACUGAAUGAUUAUGAUUGUUUUCUAGGAGCAGAGCCACCAGCAUUUCCAAGAGAAAAGCUAGAAAAUCUGCCGGUGCUGUUACACAGGAUGAACCUAUUGUUGCUGACAAAGCUAUGGAUGAUACAUCUAGGCCUAACAGUGGUGCUGAAGGUGAUGGCAAAGGAUCUACUGGCAAGUUGAAGAUCGGAGUCCGAGGACUGGAAUCAACUGCGAGCAGAAAACUGUAGAGACUGCAAGUCCAUCCUGUGAUGAAAGUCUCGGAGACAGUAAUGAAUUUUGUGUCACAGCCA